AACGCUAGCUACAGGCUUAACACAUGCAAGUCGAGGGGCAGCAUUCCAGUUUGCUUGCAAACUGGAGAUGGCGACCGGCGCACGGGUGAGUAACACGUAUCCAACCUGCCGAUAACUCGGGGAUAGCCUUUCGAAAGAAAGAUUAAUACCCGAUGGCAUAAUAGAACCGCAUGGUUUGAUUAUUAAAGAAUUUCGGUUAUCGAUGGGGAUGCGUUCCAUUAGGCAGUUGGUGGGGUAACGGCCCACCAAACCUUCGAUGGAUAGGGGUUCUGAGAGGAAGGUCCCCCACAUUGGAACUGAGACACGGUCCAAACUCCUACGGGAGGCAGCAGUGAGGAAUAUUGGUCAAUGGACGAGAGUCUGAACCAGCCAAGUAGCGUGAAGGAUGACUGCCCUAUGGGUUGUAAACUUCUUUUAUACGGGAAUAAACGAAUCCACGUGUGGAUUUUUGCAUGUACCGUAUGAAUAAGGAUCGGCUAACUCCGUGCCAGCAGCCGCGGUAAUACGGAGGAUCCGAGCGUUAUCCGGAUUUAUUGGGUUUAAAGGGAGCGUAGAUGGGUUGUUAAGUCAGUUGUGAAAGUUUGCGGCUCAACCGUAAAAUUGCAAUUGAUACUGGCAGUCUUGAGUACAGUUGAGGUAGGCGGAAUUCGUGGUGUAGCGGUGAAAUGCUUAGAUAUCACGAAGAACUCCGAUUG
rnacentral:rRNA from 1 species